GUUGACGUAGCUUAAAAUCAAAGCAAGGCACUGAAAAUGCCUAGAUGAGUUCCCUAACUCCUUAAACA
rfam:TPA: Bos taurus chromosome 16, whole genome shotgun sequence.